rnacentral:misc_RNA from 1 species
GUAGGUGAACCUGCGGAGGGAUCAUUACUGAGUGAGGGCGCCCCAACGCCCGACCUCUCAACCCUUUGUUUUGAACCAACACCUCUGUUGCCUCGGGGGCGACCCGUCUUCGGACGGGGCCCCCGGUGGACACCAAUCAAAUACUGCAUCAAUGCGUCUGAGUCAAAAGAAAAUUAAACAAAACUUUCAACAACGGAUCUCUUGGUUCUG